ensembl:lncRNA
UGAGCCUUUUCCUGACCAGAGCCAACCAGCAGCGUGAAAAAACCAACACUUCAUCAGCGCUGCUACUGGUUCCCCCCAUCAACAUCUACACCCUGUUGCUGAUUGUCAGAGGAGGCCUGGAGACCAUAACUUCAGAGGUCUACUGCCUUAAGAACACGGUGAAAUUCUCUGAAGCUGUCAUUCAAAACAUCACUUCCUUCCUGAACCAUGAAUCACAGUGUCAAUUCCUCAACAUUGGAGCAUCCUGAGGUCCUGUAUGCUGCCUCUGUUGUUACACUACUACUGGUUCCCCCCAUCAACUUCUACGUCCUGUUGCUGAUAGCCAGAGGAGGCCUGGAGACCAUAACUUCAGACUUCUACUGCCUCAACCUGGCCCUCUCUGACAUGUUGAUUUGCUUCCAGAGUAUAUUUCAUGUCAUGCAUGCACACCUAGGAGCUCCCAAACUCCACCUAGU